CAGUAGCCGCGGGAAUACGAAGGGUGCAAGCGUUAAUCGGAAUUACUGGGCGUAAAGCGCGCGUAGGUGGUUUGUUAAGUUGGAUGUGAAAGCCCCGGGCUCAACCUGGGAACUGCAUCCAAAACUGGCAAGCUAGAGUACGGUAGAGGGUGGUGGAAUUUCCUGUGUAGCGGUGAAAUGCGUAGAUAUAGGAAGGAACACCAGUGGCGAAGGCGACCACCUGGACUGAUACUGACACUGAGGUGCGAAAGCGUGGGGAGCAAACAGGAUUAGAGACCCCUGUAGUCCCUGUCUCUUAUAC
rnacentral:rRNA from 1 species